GAUGAACGCUGGCGGCGUGCCUAAUACAUGCAAGUCGAGCGAAUGGUUUAAGAGCUUGCUCUUAUGAAGUUAGCGGCGGACGGGUGAGUAACACGUGGGUAACCUGCCCAUAAGACUGGGAUAACUCCGGGAAACCGGGGCUAAUACCGGAUAACAUUUUGAACCGCAUGGUUCGAAAUUGAAAGGCGGCUUCGGCUGUCACUUAUGGAUGGACCCGCGUCGCAUUAGCUAGUUGGUGAGGUAACGGCUCACCAAGGCAACGAUGCGUAGCCGACCUGAGAGGGUGAUCGGCCACACUGGGACUGAGACACGGCCCAGACUCCUACGGGAGGCAGCAGUAGGGAAUCUCCCGCAAUGGACGAAAGUCUGACGGAGCAACGCCGCGUGAGUGAUGAAGGCUUUCGGGUCGUAAAACUCUGUUGUUAGGGAAGAACAAGUGCUAGUUGAGUAAGCUGGCACCUUGACGGUACCUAACCAGAAAGCCACGGCUAACUACGUGCCAGCAGCCGCGGUAA
rnacentral:rRNA from 1 species